AUUGAACGCUGGCGGCAGGCUUAACACAUGCAAGUCGAGCGGUAACAGAGAGAAGCUUGCUUCUCUGCUGACGAGCGGCGGACGGGUGAGUAAUGCCUAGGAAUCUGCCUAGUAGUGGGGGAUAACUUGCCGAAAGGUAAGCUAAUACCGCAUACGUCCUACGGGAGAAAGGAGGGGACCUUCGGGCCUUUCGCUAUUAGAUGAGCCUAGGUCGGAUUAGUUAGUUGGUGAGGUAAUGGCUCACCAAGACCGCGAUCCGUAACUGGUCUGAGAGGAGGAUCAGUCACACUGGAACUGAGACACGGUCCAGACUCCUACGGGAGGCAGCAGUGGGGAAUACUGGACAAUGGGGGGAACCCUGAUCCAGCCAUGCCGCGUGUGUGAAGAAGGUCUUAGGAUUGUAAGGCACUUUAAGUUGGGAGGAAGAGCAGUUAACUAAUAUUUGACUGUUUUGACGUUACCGACAGAAUAAGCACCGGCAAACUUCGUGCCAGCAGCCGCCGUAA
rnacentral:rRNA from 1 species